rnacentral:rRNA from 1 species
CUCGAUGGUAGUGUAUUGGACUACCAUGAGGAUUACGGGUACGAGGAAUUAGGGUUUGAUAUCGGAGAGGGAGCCUGAGAAACGGCUACCACUUCUAAGGAAGGCAGCAGGCGCGUAAAUUACCCAAUCCUGACACAGGGAGGUAGUGACAAGAAAUAAUAACUCGGGUACUUUUCAGUAUUACGGGAUUAAAAUGAGAACAAUUUAAAGAUCUUAUCGAGGAGCAAUAAGUGGACAAGUCUGGUGCCAGCACCCGCGGUAAUUCCAGCACUUAUAGUGUAUAUUAAUGUUGUUGCAGUUAAAAAGCUCGUAGUCGAUCAUCUAAUAGUCAGCGAUAAGGGCUUCGCGUCCUGUCGUUUGGCUGUUAUCUGCUCGAGAACUUUCCCUAUCUUAAUUGAUAGUGUUGGGGAUCGGGCACUUUCCUGAGAAAAAAUUAGAGUGUUCAACGCAAGCUAAUGCUAUGAAUAUUACAGCUUGGAAUAAUAGAAUAUGACUUGAAGUCGCUUUUGUUGGUUAUGAGACUUUAGUAAUGGUUAAUAGAAACAGUUGGGGGUAUUAGUAUUUAAUUGUCAGAGGUGAAAUUCUUGGAUUUAUUAAAGACUAACUUAUGCGAAAGCAUUUACCAAAGAUGUUUUCAAUUGAUCAAGAACGAAAGUUAUGGGAUCAAAGACGAUCAGAUACCGUC